GACGUAGGGCGCGAGCGUUGUCCGGAUUUAUUGGGCGUAAAGAGCGUGUAGGCGGCUUGGUAGGUCUCGCGUCAAAACCUGAGGCUCAACCUCAGUUCGCGUGGGAAACCACCUAGCUAGAGUCCGGAAGAGGAGAACGGAAUUCCCAGUGUAGCGGUGAAAUGCGCAGAUAUUGGGAAGAACACCAGUGGCGAAGGCGGUUCUCUGGGACGGUACUGACGCUGAGACGCGAAAGCGUGGGGAGCGAACAGG
rnacentral:rRNA from 1 species